GGCAACAGCUCAAAUUUGAAAUCUGGCCCCUAGGGUCCGAGUUGUAAUUUGUAGAGGAUGCUUUUGGUGAGGUGCCGCCCGAGUUCCCUGGAACGGGACGCCGCAGAGGGUGAGAGCCCCGUCUGGCUGGCCACCGAGCCUCUGUAAAGCUCCUUCGACGAGUCGAGUAGUUUGGGAAUGCUGCUCAAAAUGGGAGGUAUAUGUCUUCUAAAGCUAAAUAUUGGCCAGAGACCGAUAGCGCACAAGUAGAGUGAUCGAAAGAUGAAAAGCACCUUGAAAAGAGGGUUAAACAGUACGUGAAAUUGUUGAAAGGGAAGCGCUUGUGACCAGACUUGGGCGCGGCGAAUCAUCCGGGGUUCUCUCCGGUGCACUUCGCCGUGUUCAGGCCAGCAUCAGUUCGGCGCGGGGGAAAAAGGCUUCGGGAACGUGGCUGCUCCGGCAGUGUUAUAGCCCGUUGCAUAAUACCCUGCGCUGGACUGAGGACCGCGCAUCUGCAAGGAUGCUGGCGUAAUGGUCACCAGCGACCCGUCUUGA
rnacentral:rRNA from 1 species